rnacentral:rRNA from 1 species
CCUACGGGCGGCAGCAGUGGGGAAUAUUGGACAAUGGGGGCAACCCUGAUCCAGCCAUGCCGCGUGUGUGAAGAAGGCCCUCGGGUUGUAAAGCACUUUCAGUGAGGAAGAACGCCUGGUGGUUAAUACCCAUCAGGAAAGACAUCACUCACAGAAGAAGCACCGGCUAACUCCGUGCCAGCAGCCGCGGUAAUACGGAGGGUGCGAGCGUUAAUCGGAAUUACUGGGCGUAAAGCGCGCGUAGGUGGCUUGAUAAGCCGGUUGUGAAAGCCCCGGGCUCAACCUGGGAACGGCAUCCGGAACUGUCAAGCUAGAGUGCAGGAGAGGAAGGUAGAAUUCCCGGUGUAGCGGUGAAAUGCGUAGAGAUCGGGAGGAAUACCAGUGGCAAAGGCGGCCUUCUGGACUGACACUGACACUGAGGUGCGAAAGCGUGGGUAGCAAACAGGAUUAGAUACCCCUGUAGUC